CGGCGGACGGCUGAGUAACACGUAGGAACGUACCCCAAACUGAGGGAUAAGCACCGGAAACGGUGUCUAAUACCGCAUGUGCUCCUCGGAGUAAAGCUUCGGCGGUUUAGGAACGGCCUGCGCAUGAUUAGCUUGUUGGUGAGGUAAUGGCUCACCAAGGCGACGAUCAUUAGCUGGUCUGAGAGGAUGAUCAGCCAGACUGGGACUGAGAACGGCCCAG
rnacentral:rRNA from 1 species